UUCUUCAGGUUCAAAUCCUUUAUACCACUUUCCAAAAACCAGAACAAAUUACAACUCCGUUAAACUUAACAAUGAUCCCCAAACUGUUCCUUAACCCUCGUCUUCUCCCAACUUCAUCUUCCACCACCGUUUAUGGUUUACACAAAUCAGCUUCUGCUUCUGCUUCAACCUCCCACACUCCUCACUCUCUAUCCGAUGCCGUUUCCCUCUUUCACCGCACCAUCAACGGCCCCAAUUCGCCACCCUCCGAACCAGCAUGCAACUCUCUCAUCGACAACCUAUGCAAGGCACGACAACACGAUGUCGUCGUGUCGGUUUACCGCAAGAUGGCUUUCGCACGCAUUUCGCCCUCCUUCAUUUCUCUCGCCGCGUUAUCCGAAAGUUUCGUCAACACCCGUCACCCAAAUUUCGCCGUUGGAGUCCUUGGCCUCAUGAUAAAACACGGUUUUUGGGUUGGCGUCUAUAACAUUAACCUCGUGUUGAAGGGUUUUUCCCAGAGUGGUCAAUGCGACAAGGCAAUGGAUUUUUUUUCUCAAAUGAAGAAAAAUAGUGAUCACGUGGCUCCUAAUAUUGUUACUUACAAUACCCUGAUAACUGGAUUGUGUAAAGCUAAAAGAUUGGUGGAAGCUAGGGCUUUGUUUGAGGAAAUGAAGGUUGGGGAGAACAAACCCGAUUCGGUGACAUAUAAUGUUUUGAUUGAUUAUUUUUGUAAGAAUGGUGAAGCUUGUGAGGGGUUGAUUUUGUUGGAGGAGAUGGAGAGGGAGGGUUUGAAAGCUGAUGCUUUUCUGUAUAGUUCCCUAAUCAGUUACUUUUGUGGCCAGGGUGAUGUUGAGAGGGCGAGGGAACUGUUUGAUGAUAUGUUGAGGAAUAGGGUUAGUCCCUGUGUGGUUACAUAUAGUUCUUUGAUGCAUGGUCUUAGCAAGAUUGGUCGGUGGCGAGAGGCGUCUGACAUGUUGAAGGACAUGACAGCACGAGGACUUCGGCCGGAUGUUGUUACUUACUCGGUUUUGGUUGAUGGGCUUUGCAAAAAUGGGAGGUCGGAGGAUGCAAUUAAGGUGUUGGAUAUGAUGGAGCAGAGGGGGGAGGAGCCAAAUACUUUGACAUACAAUGCUGUUGUGAAUGGACUUUGUAAGGAGCGUAGGGUGGAGGAUGCAUUUAGGAUUGUGGAAAUGAUGGCGAAGAAGGGGAAGAAGCCUGAUGUGGUAACUUAUAAUACGUUGAUGAAAGGGUUGUGUGGAGCUGGGAAAGUUGAUGAGGCGAUGGAUCUUUUGAAGGUGUUGAUGAGCGACAAGUUCCAUAUGAAGCCGAAUGUCCGCACUUUUAAUUAUUUAAUUCAGGGACUUUGCAAUAAAGGACGUCUUCCUGAUGCUGUGAGGGUCCAUUCUACUAUGGUUGAAAUGGGGUUCCUAGGUAACAUAGUAACUUAUACUAUUCUGAUUGAGGGUUAUCUAAGUGUCCGCAAACUCAUUAAGGCGUUGGAACUCUGGAAAUGUGCAGUAGACUCUGGAUUUUCUCCCAAUGCAAUAACUUACAAAGUUUUGAUUAUUGGUCUGUGCAAAAUGCAGAUGCUGAGUAUUGCAAAAGGACUUUUUAUUAAAAUGAAAGAUUAUGGGAUUAAACCUACAGUAGUUUAUUACAAUGCACUAAUGGCUUCUUUGUGCAGGGAAGAUAGUCUAGAGCAGGCUAGGAGUUUAUUUCAAGAAAUGAGAAAUUUGAAUCAUGAUGUUGAUGUUGUCUCCUUUAAUAUAAUAAUUAAUGGAGCCCUCAGAGCAGGAGAUACUAAACAUGCCAAGGAACUGCUAUCGGAGAUGCUUAACAUGGAUUUGAUCCCUAAUGUUGUAACCUUUUCUAUAUUAAUAAAUAGUUUCUCUAAACUUGGGCUGUUGGAUGAAGCCAUGUCCCUCUACGAGAAAAUGGUCUCGUCUGGUCUUGUACCGGAUGUUUGUGUAUUCGUUACUUUGCUAAAGGGCUGUGGUUCAAAGGGAGAUACAAAAAAAUUCAUUUCCUUGCUUCAUCAAAUGGCUGAUAAGAAUGUUGUUCUGAACUCAACACUAACAUCUACCAUCUUAGAGUGUCUUUGUCUCAUGCCAAGUGAUCUUGAUGUAGAGAAGAUUCUUCCAAAAUUUUCACAGCAUAGUGAACUUACAUCAAAAGGAACAACGAAUAAAUGCGACGAGUUCUUGAUGAAGCUGAAUGAUGUUCAUCCAGAACUAAAGUUAUUUGUUGCACAAUAAUGUGUGUUUUCAAGUGCAUGAUACCAUGGUACUCUAGUAAGUUCUUUACAUGUCUUUCAUUAAAUCAGUUACGUUGCAUCUUUUAUCUACUUUUAUAUCUCAGGUUAAAUUGUAAAACUAUAAAGAUCAGUUGGUUUCAUUUUAGAGUAUGUGUGCGUAUGCUGGGAGGGUCAGGGAUCACUGUUAAAUCGAAUGAGCCCAUCCCUUUGGCCUAUCAUUUAUUUAUGAUGGGUUGAUCUGGCUCCUGCAUCUCCAUGGGGCCCUAUCAUACAAGUUCCUUGGAGUCCCUUAAGUUGAACCAAUAGAAGUCGCCAUAGAACUAAACAGGAUCAUCAAUUGAUGAUCUAUUGUUCCCUCUUAGUUGUAGAUGCCCAUGUUUUGAAUAGCCCAAUGAUGAAUCCCCAAUAAGAUCGGAGUCUUCCAUUCCUCCUUCCUUUAGUUUAGUUUGAACCUGUCCCAACAAUGAAGACAUUUCUUUUGCAAGGUGAGGUCUUCCAUUCCUCCUUCCUUUAAUUUAGUUUGAACCUGUCCCAGCAAUGAAGACAUUUCUUUUGCAAGGUGAGGCUUCGUCCUUCCCCUAGAAUUCACUCCAGGCUUUGAGGAUUAGGAGCUGCUAGUCCAACAUUUGAGCAAGCUACUUUACCUCACCGUGAGAUGAGAGGGAAGGUCGAUUUGGUGACUUACAUCAUUGUAUUUACCAAAUGAUGACAAAUAAAUGAUUUAAAUAUUUUGAUUGGACAGAGGGAUUGGUAACCUGACAGUUAUGGAGUUUUGAGGUCAUGCGCAUUUCAACCAGUUGCCAUUUUAUGGUAAAGAUAUGCAACUGUGAAGUUCUGCAUCAUGGUAUACGAUGCCGCAUUUGAUACUGAUGCAUAACCAGUCCAUGAAUGAGAUUUGUAAAAUGUCUUCUUACAGAGGGCCCUGGUCAACUCAUUUGUUAGUGGCCAAAACGCACCUUUUGUUAAAAAAAAGGAGCUGCCCAUUCUGAUGCAGAACCACGAGAAUCACAAAGAGGAGCACUCCUUUCGAGAGAAAAUCUGAUGCACGAACCCUUGAUGCACCAGAAAAAUCCUGAUUCGAAGGAGACACACGCUGAUUCGUGAUCAAGGAAAGCAAUUUAUAGGCUGAUGCGUGAUGAGAUCAUGGUAGAUUCAAAAUGGACGGACUAGAAAAGAUCAAGGCUGAUCAAGGGUGCCAUGAAUUGGGUGCAAGGACUGUAAUUUUGGUUCUAGAGCAAGAGAAAUCGGGUUAGGUUUUUUCGUGUAGUUUUCUGAGAUUCCUUUGGGGAUUUUUAAGGGAGGAAUUUAGGUUUUUCGGGAAGAGCCCUGGUUUGCGUGAGAAGAGAGAAAUGUUAGGACGCUAGGAUUUGACAGUUUGCUGAGGGAUAGAGAAUCAUUUUGUAAGGGGGAUUCCACUUCUCCAACGAGUACAAAGCAGCUGGCAGGAAUUGGGUUUCCUCUAGUUUGUUAGGCAACUCCUUAGUUCAUCCACGAGCACAAAGUGGGCGGAGCUGUGCUGAGUGGGAUCCCUACACCAUUUUAAUUGGUAGACUUCUCUGUAUCUCAUGUAUUCUGUUUCUGAUUCACAUAUGAAAUACAAUGUUUCCAUUUCAAUCUGAUU